ensembl:lncRNA
AUGCUGAAAAUCAAAAGCGACGCUUCUGCCGUUGUGCUUCCCAAGAUUGAACAGCGGCGAUCUCACAGCCCUGAACUCGCCGGCACAGCCUGGCUCGCCUCUCACAGCCAAGGCGAUGCCAGCAUCUCCAGGGAUUUUCUCUCUCGACACGACCGCAGCGCAGGGACCCAGGUGCCACUGCUUCCCCUAACCUGCUGGCUGCAGGGUGAGGCUGUCCCGAGCCCCUGCCUGGCGCUGGGAUCCCACAGCAAUGCUUCCAGCAUCCUGCAGCCUGGCGGGGGGGAGGAUUUGGGAAUGGCCAAGGCGUGGGGCAUAGCCCGGGAUGUUUCUGUCAGCACCAGACAGAUGGGUGGUGAGGAGGGGUGUAGGGAACGAGUAUCCACUGCAGCACCUCCAGAACCACGCGCUGGCGCUCACCGCAGCUGCCAGGUCAGAAGAGGUGCAGAUAAAGAGCAAAAAACCUGCAGCUCAGCUGGCAAACACCUGGCAGAGGGGGAAACAUUCAAAAAGUUCCCCGAAGUAAGAGCCCGACCCGCUUGGAGGAGUCGAGCAGGAGCAGGAGGGACCAAGGGGAACCUCCGCGGCGCUGACACGCUGCGGUGCCUCCCGCUGCCCUCCCGGGAGGUCGGGACGGCACCUUACCGUUACGGCCUCUGCCCGCGGCCGUGGCGGAGCAGGGAGGGCUCCUGGAGCUGGAGGGCGACCCCCGGGACCCCCGCGGCUCCCGCCGGGCGGUGUUCGCCCACCGAGGCCCGGCUCGCCCAGCAGGGGGCACGGGGAGGGCGCGCAGCGCCUGGGUGGGUGGGGGGCGCGGGGGGGGGCGGGGGGGGGGGGGGGGGUGCUGCAGAAAUUAAAGAAAAAGAGAAAAAGAGAAAACUUGGGAGUUUGCAGCUCGGCACGCCGGGGCGGCGCGGAGGCUGUGCUGCCGGGAGGGAGAAGGGGAGGGAGGGAGGGAAGGAAGGAAAGGAGGGAGGGGAGAGCGGGCGCAGCCCCUUCCCCGGCCCUCCCCUCGCCUCGCCCGGCCGCGGGGCGUGGAGGGGCGGCCCCGAGCCCGGCUCUCGGCACGGCCGGCUGAGCUCCGGCGGCGGGGCUCGGCGUCCCCCGGGCCGGGAGCCGCGGCGGGGAGCCGCCGGGGAUGCGGGGGGAGCUCGCCGCGGCGCUGCGCCAGGUAAGGGGCGGCGGGGAGCGAGGGGCUGCCCCCCUCAGCCCUUCCCCGCUUGGCGACAAGGGCUAACUUUGCCCGGCCGGCCCCUCCCGGAGCUCUCGGUGCCGGGAGGAGGGAGGGGGCUGCGGGAAAGUCGGGGAUGCGCGGCGGGAGGCUGCCGCUCGGAAGAGCGGAGCCCCGCAACGUGCCCCGCAGUCUGCCCCGCAGUGAUGUGCCCUGCCCUGCCCCUCGGAGCUGCCCCCGGCCCGGCGCUGCGGGAUGGGCACGCUCGGGCAGCCCGGAGCAGACGAGGGGGACGCGGGUGCAGGUGGGUGCUGCCACGAGGAAAGUCCGGGACCGGCUGGGGCUGGCGUUACUCGGGAGGGACCCGGGAACUCACCAGGAGGGUGCCCGGUGCCGGUAGGGAACAGCCGAGAGCCCCGAGAAACCUCCGGGAUGAUUUAGGCUCCGGUGACCCGUCGGUGCCUCGGAAAGCAGGACGGGAUGGGGAGGAGCGCGGGUGCCCCGAGCCUUCUGCUCACCGGAGGGCGGCUGGGGGCGAUGCGGGCGCGGAGCGGGGCGAGCCCGGGGCUCUUCUCCGGGCGCAGCUCGGGGCCACGGCCGCAGGGGAGCCCUGGUGCGGAGGAGGAGGCGAUGCUGAGCCGGCCUGGCUGCGCGGGGCACGGGGACGGGUCCCCAGAUCAGGAGGCGCCCGCGGUGCGGGCUUCUCGGAGCCGUGUGUCCCGGGGGGGGGGGGGUGUCCCCCUUAA